rnacentral:misc_RNA from 1 species
AGCUCCGACUGCGGCGGCAUCCGGGACGGCGGGCGGGCUGGCCACCACGGGACAGGAAGGGCUCAGUAAAGAGACAAGCACUAUAUGCCUGUAGUACCUGCACCCCAGAGGGAGAAGAACCAGCAGGAAUUUGUUUAGCUUGCAGUUAUGAAUGUCAUGGAAGUCACAAACUAUUUGAGCUAUACACAAAAAGAAAUUUUCGUUGUGAUUGUGGAAACAGCAAGUUUAAAAAUUUGGAAUGCAAAUUACUUCCUGACAAAGCAAAGGUAAAUUCUGGCAAUAAGUACAAUGACAACUUUUUUGGAUUGUACUGCAUUUGCAAGAGACCUUAUCCUGAUCCUGAAGACGAGAUUCCAGAUGAGAUGAUCCAGUGCGUAGUCUGUGAAGACUGGUUCCAUGGAAGGCAUCUUGGUGCCAUUCCCCCUGAGAGUGGGGAUUUUCAGGAGAUGGUAUGCCAGGCCUGCAUGAAACGUUGUUCUUUUUUGUGGGCUUAUGCUGCACAAUUGGCAGUAACCAAAAUAUCCACUGAGGAUGAUGGAUUGGUGCGGAACAUUGAUGGAAUAGGUGAUC